rnacentral:rRNA from 1 species
GUGGGGAAUCUUGCGCAAUGGGCGAAAGCCUGACGCAGCCAUGCCGCGUGAAUGAUGAAGGUCUUAGGAUUGUAAAAUUCUUUCACCGGGGACGAUAAUGACGGUACCCGGAGAAGAGGCCCCGGCUAACUUCGUGCCAGCAGCCGCGGUAAUACGAAGGGGGCUAGCGUUGCUCGGAAUUACUGGGCGUAAAGGGCGCGUAGGCGGACAGUUUAGUCAGAGGUGAAAGCCCAGGGCUCAACCGUGGAAUUGCCUUUGAUACUGGCUGGCUGGAGUACGGGAGAGGUGAGUGGAACUCCGAGUGUAGAGGUGAAAUUCGUAGAUAUUCGGAAGAACACCAGUGGCGAAGGCGACUCACUGGCCCGUUACUGACGCUGAGGCGCGAAAGCGUGGGGAGCAAACAGGAUUAGAAACCCCGGUAGUCC